rnacentral:rRNA from 1 species
AUUGAACGCGGGCGGCAGGCCUAACACAUGCAAGUCGGACGGUAGCACAGAGGAGCUUGCUCCUCGGGUGACGAGUGGCGGACGGGUGAGUAAUGUCUGGGGAUCUGCCCGAUAGAGGGGGAUAACCACUGGAAACGGUGGCUAAUACCGCAUAACGUCGCAAGACCAAAGAGGGGGACCUUCGGGCCUCUCACUAUCGGAUGAACCCAGAUGGGAUUAGCUAGGAGGCGGGGUAACGGCCCACCUAGGCGACGAUCCCUAGCUGGUCUGAGAGGAUGACCAGCCACACUGGAACUGAGACACGGUCCAGACUCCUACGGGAGGCAGCAGUGGGGAAUAUUGCACAAUGGGCGCAAGCCUGAUGCAGCCAUGCCGCGUGUAUGAAGAAGGCCUUCGGGUUGUAAAGUACUUUCAGCGGGGAGGAAGGCGAUGUGGUUAAUAACCGCGUCGAUUGACGUUACCCGCAGAAGAAGCACCGGCUAACUCCGUGCCAGCCGCCGCAGUAA